CUACGGGCUGCAGCAGUGAGGAAUAUUGCACAAUGGGGGGAACCCUGAUGCAGCAACGCCGCGUGGAGGAUGACGCAUUUCGGUGUGUAAACUCCUUUUAUGAGUCAAGAAAAUGACGGUAGCUCAUGAAUAAGCACCGGCUAACUCCGUGCCAGCAGCCGCGGUAAUACGGAGGGUGCAAGCGUUACUCGGAAUCACUGGGCGUAAAGGGUGCGUAGGCGGGCUUGUAAGUCAGGUGUGAAAUCCUACAGCUUAACUGUAGAACUGCACUUGAAACUACGAGCCUAGAGUAUGGGAGGGGCAGAUGGAAUUAGUGGUGUAGGGGUAAAAUCCGUAGAUAUCACUAGGAAUACCGAAAGCGAAGGCGAUCUGCUGGAACAUUACUGACGCUAAGGCGUGAAAGCGUGGGGAGCAAACGGGAUUAGAUACCCCAGUAGUC
rnacentral:rRNA from 1 species